rnacentral:rRNA from 1 species
ACUCAAAUGAAUAGACGGGGGCUCGCACAAGUGGUGGAGCAUGCGGUUUAAUUCGAUGCUACGCGAAAAACCUUACCAACCCUUGACAUGGUGGUCGUAGGAUAGAGAGAUCUAUUCGUCAGCUCGGCUGGACCACACACAGGUGUUGCAUGGCUGUCGUCAGCUCGUGUCGUGAGAUGUUGGGUUAAGUCCCGCAACGAGCGCAACCCUCAUUCUUAUUUGCCAGCGAUUCGGUCGGGAACUAUAAGGAAACUGCCGGUGAUAAACCGGAGGAAGGUGGGGACGAUGUCAAGUCAUCAUGGCCCUUACGGGUUGGGCUACACGCGUGCUACAAUGGUACUUACAGAGGGAAGCAAGACAGCGAUGUGGAGCAAAUCCCUAAAAAGUAUCUCAGUUCGGAUUGUUCUCUGCAACUCGAGAGCAUGAAGUCGGAAUCACUAGUAAUCGCGGAUCAGCAUGCCGCGGUGAAUACGUUCUCGGGCCUUGCACACACCGCCCGU